GGUUGGAGGCGCCCAAAGUAUGGCCAGAAAUAUGGACUUCACUCCAUUUGCAGCUAAAGUCCUACCAUCAUAGCCAGCUCUCAGGGAAAUUAUGUCUUUUAUUUGUGGAGAGUCCCAUGGAGGUUCUGUGCUGCUUGCCCACUGCCAGUAAGGAUCGGUAAUGUUUUGAUGGCUUCACCUGCUUCUCAGAUGUCUUUUCUCCUGCCUCCUCCCCGCUGGCAGUCUCCUGCCUCCUCCCCGCUGGCAGUCUCCUGCUGGUGCCGCCCUGCCCUCCACCCCAACUCAGCAGAGCCCAACAAGGAGGAGCUGGCAAAGAAGUGCUGCAGAAGCUCAGUGCCAGCAUCACAGCACAUUGGAAGUGGACCUUUGUGGCCAAGAGGUAGAAGUCACUGACAAUUGGAGAACACAGUCACAGACCCUUGUUCAAGAUAUAUUCAAAAACUAUAUUUUUCCCCUUUCUAUAUGUUCAUCUGUCUUGUUUCUUAAAUUCCACAUAUGAGUGUGGUCAUAUGGUAUUUGAUUUUCUCUGACUGACUGAUUCCACUUAGCAUAAUAUACUCUAGCUCUAUGCAUGUCAUUGCAAAUGGCAAGAUUUCAUUCUUCUGAUGGCUGAAUAAUAUUGCAUUGUAUAUACACAUACCACCUCUUCUUUAUCCAUUGAUCAGUCAAUGGACAUUCAGACUCUUUCCAUAGUUUGACUAUUGCUGGUAAUGCUGUUAUAAAUAUCAGGGUGCAUGUACCCCUUUGAAUCUGUAUCUUUGUAUCUUUUGGCUAAAUACCUACUAGUGCAAAUUGCUGGGUUAUAGGAUGGCUCUAUUUUUAACUUUUUGAGGAACCUCCAUACUGUUUUUCCAGAGUGGCUACACCAGUUUGUUUUCCCACCAACAAUGCAAGAGGGUUCUCCUUUCUCCUGAUCCUCACCAACAUCUGUUAUUUCUUGUGUUGUUAAUUUUAGCCAUUCUGACGAGUAUGAGGUGAUAUCUCAUCAUGGUUUUGGUUUAUAUUUAUAUUUGAUUUGAUUUAUAUUUCGAUGAUAAUGAGUGAUGUUGUAUGAACACUCACCUGGGUCAUUGUUCCAUUGGUCAAAGAUCAAAAGCAUCUUUUCAUGUCUGUUAACCAUCUGGAUGUUUUCUUUGGAAAAUGUCUAUUCAAGUCUUCUGCCCAUUUCUUAACUGGAUUAUUUGUUUUUUGGGUGUUGGGCUUAAUAAGUUCUUUAUAAAUUUUGCAUACUGACCCUUUGUCAGAUAUGUCAUUUGCAAAUAUCUCCUCCCCUUCAUAAACUGCCUUUUAGUUUUGUUGAUUGUUUCUUUCACUGUGCAGAAAGGAGAAAGGGAGAAAGGGAGAGAGAGAAAAAGGGAAAAAGUAUAAGAGACUCUUAAUCAUAGAGAUCAAACAGAGGGUUGAUUGAGGGAUGUGGGUGGGGGAUGGGCUAGAUGGAUAAUGGGUAUUAAGGAAGGCAAUUGUUAUGAUGAGCUCUGGGUGUUGUGUGUAAGUGAUGAUCACUGAAUUCCUCUUCUGAGACCAAUAUGGCACUGUAUGUUAACUAAUUAGAAUUUAAAUUAAAAAAAUAAAAAUAACUAAAUAAAUAAUUUAAACUCAGCCUGCAUGUGUACAAAAUAGUUUCCACCAUUUGAUAGUUUGAUAGGUUUUUGUUCCUUCUUUAAAUAUGUGUGUAUGAGUAAAGGAGAGGAAGAGAAGGGAAUUGGCUCUCUGAUGGGUUAGACCCUUCAUUGGCUUGGGAAGACAGGAGAUAUUAUACCUCAAAGAAAUAGGGGUUUAUAGUUUGAGGGUUUUAUGAUGUGUAAGUCAGCACCUCAAGGGAGAGUUAGUGAAAAAUCACUGGCAGGACCGACAGGUGUGGAGCAACAGUCCUAUCAUUCCAGAUACAUCUAUCUGCCCUUUGACUCUAUAUUUUCAUAUAAGGAAUUCCCUUGUGGCCACAGAUUAAAACUCAAAGUGAUCAUCUGUUGUUUAAUCCACUGUUCACUCCGACUAGGACAGAAAAAAUUUAACAAAGACAAGCACAUUCUAUUGCCAUAGGAAUAACCAGAUUCCCCCCUAAUUCCCUAAGGUUCUUCUUCCUUAUCUUUUUCCUUAGCAUUCUUACCUGUGUUUGAAAAAUAUGCAGGCAGGGCAUUCCUCUGCCUGUAAAUUAACCCCCUUCCCUAAGUGGAGCCCUUAUUCCUUCCCUCUGAUAUUUUUUCUCCUUUGGCAAUUCUCUUUUCUUCCCUGUGUCCUGUUUCAAAUGCCCUUGAAGUUCUGCUUUUCUUUUUUCCUUCUCUCUCAGAGCUCCUAUUUGGUUUUUCAGACAAUAAGCAUGUCUUUUCAGAUGAAUGCUAUUUCCAUAUCUCUAGUUCAAAUGCCAUUCCCAACCUCUUCUUGGAGAAUUUCAUUUGAAUGUAGAGAAAAGAAAGUCAUCCAACUCCACAUGGAAAACUGGACAAUCCCAGGAGGUAAUAAUUUAACCCCCGGAAAUUUAGUGUCUGAAUCAAGAUAAACUUUGUAUUACAGAACAUAUUACUAAUAAUUUUUAUAUUGGUUACAUUUAAUAAAUAAAAUUAUAUUGGUUACA